UAUUGGGCAAUGGAGGAAACUCUGACCCAGCAACGCCGCGUGAAUGAUGAAGGUCUUCGGAUUGUAAAGUUCUUUUCUAAGGGAAGAAGAAAGUGACGGUACCUUAGGAAUGAGCCUCGGCUAACUACGUGCCAGCAGCCGCGGUAAUACGUAGGAGGCAAGCGUUAUCCGGAAUGACUGGGCGUAAAGGGUGCGUAGGUGGUUCAGCAAGUUAGUAGCGUAACUCCGGAGCUCAACUUCGGCACUACUACUAAAACUGUUGGACUUGAGUGCAGGAGGGGCAACUGGAAUUUCUAGUGUAGCGGUGGAAUGCGUAGAUAUUAGGAAGAACACCGGUGGCGAAGGCGAGUUGCUGGACUGUAACUGACACUGAGGCACGAAAGCGUGGGGAGCGAACAGG
rnacentral:rRNA from 1 species